CGGCAAAAGCUCAAAUUUGAAAUCUGCGUAAGCCGAGUUGUAAUUUGAAGAUGGCUACUUUGGUAAUGGCUCUUGUCUAUGUUCCUUGGAACAGGACGUCACAGAGGGUGAGAAUCCCGUGCGAUGAGAUGUCCAUUACCGUGUAAAGUGCUUUCGAAGAGUCGAGUUGUUUGGGAAUGCAGCUCUAAGUGGGUGGUAAAUUCCAUCUAAAGCUAAAUAUUGGCGAGAGACCGAUAGCGAACAAGUACAGUGAUGGAAAGAUGAAAAGAACUUUGAAAAGAGAGUGAAAAAGUACGUGAAAUUGUUGAAAGGGAAGGGCUUGAGAUCAGACUUGGUAUUUUGUAUGGCUUGCUUUCGGGCGGGUCCUCUGCAGUUUACUGGGCCAGCAUCGGUUUGGGUGGCAGGAUAAUAGCAUAGGAAUGUGGCUCUACUUCGGUGGAGUGUUAUAGCC
rnacentral:rRNA from 1 species